rnacentral:rRNA from 1 species
UACGUAGGGUGCAAGCGUUGUCCGGAUUUAUUGGGCGUAAAGAGCUCGUAGGCGGCUUGUCGCGUCGUCCGUGAAAACCCACAGCUCAACUGUGGGCUUGCGGUCGAUACGGGCAGGCUAGAGUUCGGUAGGGGAGACUGGAAUUCCUGGUGUAGCGGUGAAAUGCGCAGAUAUCAGGAGGAACACCGGUGGCGAAGGCGGGUCUCUGGGCCGAUACUGACGCUGAGGAGCGAAAGCGUGGGGAGCGAACAGG